CCGACAAACGUCAGUUAAUUGUCAAACGCUUUUUAACGCAUCACCUCGUGGCGUAAGUCCUGUUUUGCAAAGUUGUUUGUGUUUUUUGUAAAGUUGUUUGUGUUUUUUUGUGGUGUUUUAUGACUUUUAUUUUAAAAUGCCAAGUUGUUCUGUUCCUUUGUGUAAAAAUAAAAGCCGAUUGUUUCGUCUUCCAACAGGUGUUAGUAAUAGGGCUAGAAGAGAGAUGUGGGAGAAUUUAAUAGGCCGGGACGAUUUGAACGACAACUCCAGAAUUUGCGAAUUACAUUUUUCUGAACAACAAUUCGAAGCAAAGUGAGCAGGUGGAAGGAAACUAUUGCGGCCGAAAUUUUGUUAAUAAACUG